GACGAACGCUGGCGGCGUGCUUAACACAUGCAAGUCGAACGGUGACAUCAGAGCUUGCUCUGGUUGAUCAGUGGCGAACGGGUGAGUAACACGUGAGUAACCUGCCCUUGACUCUGGGAUAACUCCGGGAAACCGGGGCUAAUACCGGAUACGAGACGCGACCGCAUGGUCGGCGUCUGGAAAGUUUUUCGGUCAAGGAUGGACUCGCGGCCUAUCAGCUAGUUGGUGAGGUAAUGGCUCACCAAGGCGUCGACGGGUAGCCGGCCUGAGAGGGCGACCGGCCACACUGGGACUGAGACACGGCCCAGACACCUACGGGUGGCUG
rnacentral:rRNA from 1 species